AUUGAACGCUGGCGGCAGGCCUAACACAUGCAAGUCGAACGAGUGGCGGACGGUUGAGUACUGUCUGGAACACUGCCCGAUGGCGGGGGAUAACUACUGGAAACGUUAGCUAAUACCGCAUACCAUCGGAUGUGCCCCGAUGGGAUUAGCUAGUAGGGGGGGAAAAGGCUCACCUAGGCGACGAUCCCUAGCUGGUCUGAGAGGAUGACCAGCCACAAUGGAACUGAGACACGGUCCAGACGCCUACGGGAGGCAGCAGUGGGGAAUAUUGCACAAUGGGCGCAAGCCUGAUGCAGCCAUGCCGCGUGUAUGAAGAAGGCCUUCGGGUUGUAAAGUUCUUUCAGCGGGGAGGCGUUACCCGCAGAAGAAGCACCGGCUAACUCCGUGCCAGCAGCCGCGGUAAUUC
rnacentral:rRNA from 1 species